CGAGCUUUCUCUCUCCUCCCAUGCCGACCACCACCUUGCCACUGGCCGAUCUCCUCUUCCACAGCUCUACAAGCCAAGCCCUUGCGCCAUCGUGUUUGCCUCGACGAGGUGAACUCAUUUUUCCCCUUUUCCCCUAUCUUUUAGCCACCACAGCAAGCCACCACCGCCACUCCUUUUAUUGCUAUGGUCAAGCUCCUGCCGUCGCCGUUCCGGCCUCCUCCCUCUCCCUCUCCGCCAGCUACUGCCUUCCCCGGAUACGCGACGCUCGGGAACACGCGUGGCCUCCGACGUCGCCGCCCUCCAGCCACCGGAGCGCCGCCACCCCGCUCCCCUUCUCCUCUCUCUUCUCUCGGCUCUCUCUGGAACAGAGAAGAGGAAGACGAGAAGAAGGAAGAAGAAGGAGAAAAGAAAAAGAAAAAUAAGAUAAGAUACUGACAGGUGGGCCCCCGCACAGUAACUUUUCAUAUUUUCUAGAUUUAAUUCAAAUCCCAAUCUUUAGAAGCCCAUAUCUCCUAAACCGUAGAUCCGAUUCCGAUGAAACUUGGACCUAAAUUCAUCUAAAUUCAAACCCUACCUUUUGACACCAAAUUUGCUAUUUUAAUAUUUCAUUUGAAUUUCCUUAAUUUAUUCAAAUACCAUUUGAAUAAAUAUUUGAUAUAAUCUUAUAAUUGAAUUUACAAUUUAAACUUAUAUUUGCUUUUCGAAUAUUUCCGUUUAUUUCCAAAAUACCCUUUAGCCACUAAAAAGCCACCAGUUGGAACUUUACGCUUUCCAUGGGGACGCUCGCGGUUUACUAUCCCCGACGUCGAACCGUUGGUUGUAAAGCCCGGCAAAACCUAAACCUAAGGUCGAAGUGCUGCUCCUGGCACCCCACGCCUCGAUGCGUACAGCAGUCGGAGCUUCACUAUUCUCUCGACCUCCACAGCACGCCGCACAGUUAGCUCUCAGACUCUGUGUGAUCCUAGCCGCUCCGCCGCCACUCACGGUUGUCGGAGUAACACAUCCGCCCCACUAAACCUACACAAACUUCCUAUCCCUCUAGCCGUUAUAUUGUCUGUUGACAUCGGCUAGACACCAAACCUAGUCGUCAUACUACCCAAUUCUAAUGACGACUAGCAAACACCCAAAUCUCAGCCGAUAUUCAUCCUACCUCGAUAUUGGCUUAAUCAAAUGAAACCCUAGCCAGCCUGCUAUCCAAACUCCAUACCAGCUAUUUACCCUCCAACUACCCAUAGUUUAAACAUGAAAUACGAGCCGAUAUGUUAUCCCAUUUCAGCAUCGAAACCCUAGCCACUAUUCAACCAAAGCCCACACAUGAGAUAUAAGCGACAUCAGUUGCUUGAUCCCCUCUCCAACCUAGCCUCCAACUCCUUAGAGCCUGCGCAUAAAAUACUAGCUCAAUAACCCAUUAAGGAGAUAGCUAUACCCCUCAAACCUAGCCUUUCUCACCUUCAUUGCUUUCUUGUUGUUUUAUGGCUUUUAUUGAAUUUGGUUCUUCCUCUUCUUUAAUAGAGUCUAUUUUAUUCUGGAUGGCAACCUGUAGUAUUUCGAGCAUCGGAUAAUCAGGUUGCCUAUCUUGGAUUUAUUUGCGUUGGAGCAAGGCAAGUUAUUAUUCCUCUCCUUUGAGCAUAAUUAUCCUAUACUCUAUAGCUUUAUUCUAAGCAUUAGCCAUUCAUGAUUUUGAAUUCAUAACUUGAACAUAUAGCAAACUAGAUAUAUGCUAGAUUUUGCUUAGCCCUGCCUAGUUAGACUGCAUAAAAAUAUAAUGAACUUAGAUUGGGACAGUACGCAUGAAUUAGUUGAUUUCCGGGUGGCUAGUACUGUCUCUAUCGAUAUAAUUGCCACCAAAUACUUAUGUCAAACGAACGAGUAUGACCGCAGCUUUUAGAAUAGGGACAGACCUAGUUAUUAGGUUAAUUAACAAUGUGGUACCUCUGUACAGUGGUUCUUAUCUAAGUCCUCGCGAAGGAGGCAAACUUAUGCCGCGAAGGGCAAAUGUGAUAUUUACCGAGGCGCAGGUAAAUAUCUUGAUUAUAUUGCGAUCGCUGUGUGUGUAUAUUGUAAAAACCUGGUUGAGAUGACGUGGGGUCUCUCAUCCAGUUCUCUCUAAAAACCUCGGGAACGCAAGAACUCCUCUCGCUGCUGAUAACGUUACGUUCAGAGCGCAUGGGGACUAGAGUUCAUGGAACAGGUGCCACUAUUGUUAAUAACCUAAGGCUGGGCUACGACUAAGCUAAUGAAAAUUGGCAAGUAGAGUAUUCAACAUCGAGUACGACUAACCUAAGGCUGGGCUACGACUAACCUAAGGCUGGGCUACGACUACGAGUAAAGCGUACAUCUACUGCAGUAGAGUAUUCAUGAAACUAUUCGAAUAGCCGUGCUCACGGAAUUGAGUAUCGGGACUCAUAUGAUAUUUGGUUAGAAACUUAACUCAAGAUUUUACUAAAUACUGUUGCAUAAAGACAUACCAGGCUUUCUUCCUCUUUAUUCUCAGCUUUCUGCCAGUAAACCUAGAUCUACUUAAAUACUAUUUCAUGCAUUCAUUAUUUGAUAUAAUAGCUUGCUGAGUACGUUGUACUCAUCCUUGCUUCAACAUCCUUUUUCAGAAUUAUUUUGGAGUUCUUGUUGAUGAUGGGAGUUCAAUCACACAAGUUAAUUCCCUUUUAACUUAGUCUUCAAGUCUAGGUAAUUUAAAUGGUUUAAGUCUAUAGUAAAACAGCAGAGUUAGGUCAUUCUAAAGCUUCUGCUGUAAUAGUUAGCCACAAUCUUGUAAAUACCCUAUUACUUUAUGUAAUAAUAUCUCCUUCAAAGCUAUGUCUAAAUGUAUGCAA
rnacentral:lncRNA from 1 species